GCCCGGUUAGCUCAAUUUAGUUAGAACACCGCGCUGAUAACGCGGAAGUUGCUGGUUCAAAUCCAGUACCGGGCA
rnacentral:tRNA from 1 species